UUUAUCUCUCCCGGCUCCUAACCAUCGCAUCUCUCUAUGUCGCCCUUUUUCUCGAACCACUCAUAUUCUCUAGCCCUCCUGACGUGGUGGCAAUGCAGUUUUCUCCUCCCCUUCGUCCCCUAGUCUCCUCUACGGCUGCAUCUUGACCUGUAGAAAUCAUAGGUGAUCGAAGCUUUGAAGGAGAAAUGAUGAUGGUUAUGGUUGUGCUAUCAGCUAGAACUGUUUUACGGCAAUACUUUCUGGAUAUGCUCGCAUCAUUCAGAAGCUUGGUUUUCUUGCAAAAUUCAAGGUACCUGUUCUGUUCUUGUGUCUUGUGCGUGAUUCCAUGCUUUGAUAAUUGUCACUGUCAGGACUUCAAGAUUCAGAAUAUUGCUGUAUCUUGUGAUGUCAAAUUCCCAAAAGCACCACACAAUCGAUCAAAUAAUUUCAUUGCUCUUUGAUUGUUGUUGUGUUUUAUCAUGUCUGACUGUGCAUGUUUUCACCCUAGUUGCUCUUGGCUUAUUGUUGUGGGAUUUUGUUCCUGUCGUUAUGAUGUUGCCCUUUGUAUGUGCUCCUAUCAUCAGUAUAGCGACAAUUGAUUUCACCACAUAUUGUUUCUGUGUCAAUGAUGUCUCAUGUAGAAUGAAAUGGAACAGUAGAGAGUCGAAUCAACAAUUUUAUUGCAGUGUCUGUUUUCUAUAUCAGUGAUAUCUAAAGAUGUAUGCAUCUGAUCUAGGUAGCUAGUAAUCCAACAGUAAUAGAAGGAAUCAGAGGAGUAGGGGCAACGGAUGUGUGUGAUCAAUGAUUUCUUUUUUGCUACUGGUGCGUGACCCAUCGCUUUUUUGCUAAAGGGAGGCAGUGGAACGAUUUCUUGUUUUUUCUUCGUUUUUAGUAGUUAUUAUUAUUUUUUUUUUUGUUGACAUCCCCCUCUCCAAGUUGAUCACUCUUUUGUGGGCUUUUUGUUGGGCCCAUGGGUACGAUGCCGAUGUCGUGCUGAAACAUUAGACGAAGCUAACCAAAAGAACAAGAGCUCAUAGGUCUUCCAUUUUUUAGGACCCGAGGCCCAAAGUUUGUCCAGCCCAUAAUCUCUCGAACAUAUACCGGACCUUCUUUUUUUCACCCAUUUGUUACCGGGUUCAUGGGUUUUUUUAUGCUACUCUGAAUCUACAACAUGGCAGCAGCUGGUUGGUCCAGAAUCUGAUAGAUUUGCUAAGCAAAAUUUGUCGCAGACAACUAGACAAACCCAAUAAUCAAAUCGGCUGCUGUGGCUAGCGAUUCCCAUGACAGCGGGAUCAUGAGGCUGACAAUUGAGUCGUGGCGGCUCACGGUGCUGCUGGAGUCGAGGAGGCCGACGGCGAUGGCAUCCCUGCCUAACCCCCCCCCCUCCCCUCCCCUCCCGCCGCCCUUCAUCCGCGGGAAUCGGUGUGGCUCUCUCUAUUCUCUCUCUCUGAGUUGAGGAUUGGGCGUUCGAUGCAGGAGGCUGGGCUCGGCGCCACCAAAACAGACACCCAUGCACCAGAUCGGGACAGGGGUGUUGGAGAGGUGCCCAGAUCCUGCGAAGACAAAAGAGCUGCGCUGCAGAAAUUGAGCAGCUGGCGUCAAUUUGAAGAUGGAGAGCACAAGUAAAAGGAGUCGGAGGAAAAUAGAAAACUGCACUGAAAGGGGUGAGUCUCGCAAUGCUGUUGAUUUCGUUGAUUGAGGAGGGAUUCAUACUGAAUUUUUUCGAGUUCCCGGUGAGAUCAAAAGUUUAGUUUUAGUAUUUGAUUUGCCCAUAGUUUGCUUGUUUGAGACUUACCUGAAUCUCCUCUGUAAUAGCAGGACUUGAAUGUGCUCCUCCUAGUAGCGCUUAGCCUGCUUGUUACCUCACUUGAGAUCCACUGAAAAUUGCACGAUUUGUUGGAAGAGCUCAGCAUCCC